rnacentral:lncRNA from 1 species
GGCCCCUCCCCGCCCUCCCAGGGCGCGCAGCACUGGCGGGAGGAGCGGGAGACCGAGGAGCUGCAGAAGAGGAGGAGGAGGGCGCCGAAGGCGCGAAAAGGCGCGCAGGCGCGCUGCGGGGCCCGCCGCCGCCCACGUCACCGCGCCGCGCGCACGUCACGCCGGCCCGACGCUCGGCCAGGGUGAGCCCCGCGUCCCGGCGCCGCUCGGCCCAGGGCAGGGACCCCGCCACGGCCGGGACCGCCCGGCCCGGCCCCCGCCCGCGCCUCCCUGCGCCGCCCCGCGCCCCGCACCGCGCCCUUUCCGCGUCCCCGCCCGCGCGGCCGGCCCGGGCAGCCAGGUGCGGGCGGGCAGGGGAUGCCGCGGGAGCCGCGGGCGGGGCCGGGGGUGCGGGCGGGACCCCGGCCACCCCAUCCUGUGCCCCGGCCGCGUGUAGGCGCCGCGCGGCCCCGACCCGCGGUCUCCCGCGCCCUCCCGCGCCCCGCGCGCUCCUGUGCCUCGGGGACCCCGCGCGCUCGGCGCUGGUGGGGGCUCCCCAGGUGACCGCGGGGCGGGGGUCCCGGGCCUGGCCCUCCUGGCCGAUAGCAGCGCCCGCGCCCCGCGCCGGAGGUGGGGCCAGGGCCAGGGUCGGCCGGAGCGCGCAGGGCGGGGGAGGGGAUGCCGCCCCACGGCGGCCCGCGGGGACCCGGUUCCGGCGCGCGCGGGAGGCGCCUCGUGCGGAGGCGGCCCGAGGCCUAGUGACAGGCGCGCGGCGCGGACCCCGGAAGCCCACCUGUCAGAGUUACCGGUCAGCCAGGCGGGCGCCGCCGGGGUCUGGGGUGGACGCCGCGAGCCUGCACGUUGCGCCGGGACCCUGGGGCUGCGCCCAGGCCGGUCUAAUUGAAGCCAACGGAGAACUCAAGGUCUUCAUAGACCAGAACCUUAGUCCCGGAAAAGGUAAGGGCACCUGUUCUGGACACACUUGUGUUGAUGAAUGCGUGAAGCUUCACGUGUUUAUGAAGCUGUUGACGUUGAAGCCUCUUGCUAAUGAUGGCAUCUCCUGCACGGGCACCUUUGUGCUCUGAGAAUCCAGGAGGGUGGGCGUAGGGGCCUUCUAAUAUUUAGAAACAGCCUGCACACCACACCAGAAGCUUUGUGGAUUUUGAAUUCUAAGGUGUGUAUACUAUUUGCAAACAUUUAGAAAAAGGUAGAAUAAUGUAAAGAAGAAAUAAAGACAAUUUGUUUUCCCGCCACCCAAAGAUAAUGACGUCUCAGCAGUGGUGUGGGCUCUUCCAGAAGCCAGACUCACCUGUGCU